UACGGGGGGGGUAAGCGUUGUUCGGAAUUACUGGGCGUAAAGGGCUCGUAGGCGGCCAACUAAGUCAGACGUGAAAUCCCUCAGCUUAACUGGGGAACUGCGUCUGAUACUGGAUGGCUUGGAUUCGGGAGAGGAAUGCGGAAUUCCAGGUGUAGCGGUGAAAUGCGUAGAUAUCUGGAGGAACACCGGUGGCGAAGGCGGUUCUCUGGGCAUUUCUUGACGCUGAGGCGCGAAAGCGUGGGGAGCAAACAGG
rnacentral:rRNA from 1 species